rnacentral:rRNA from 1 species
UACGGGGGGGGCAAGCGUUGUUCGGAAUUACUGGGCGUAAAGGGCUCGUAGGCGGCCAACUAAGUCAGACGUGAAAUCCCUCAGCUUAACUGGGGAACUGCGUCUGAUACUGGAUGGCUUGAGAUUGGGAGAGGGACGCGGAAUUCCAGGUGUAGCGGUGAAAUGCGUAGAUAUCUGGAGGAACACCGGUGGCGAAGGCGGCGUCCUGGACCAACACUGACACUGAGGAGCGAAAGCCAGGGGAGCAAACGGG